AAUCUCAACCAUUAGGGUUUCUUAAUGGCUUGGAUUUGGAGGUUUGCCAGUCUGACUGGCUCCUCUUAAAGGAGUUAGCAAGUUUAACUAUUGCUAUCUGGCGUAAUAAGUUUCGCUGGAAUGGUAUUGUGAAGCGUGCUUCUAAUCGUCUUCGGACAAUUACUUUGA
rnacentral:misc_RNA from 1 species